CUUAAACCAUGAAACGAAUUUCGCCCACCGGAAUUCCCCAUCGCAUCCUUUAAGCUACUGUAUACCAGCUCAGUGGCUCAGCCGCUGCUCCAUCCUCCUCCACCGUUACCUCUCCAGAAAAAGACUGAACUUUCUUUCACUGGUAACUCAAAAGAAAAUGUCAUCGGUUAUAUUCCUCUCAGUUCCAAGCAAAACCAGAACUUUUCUUUACCACUCCAAGUCCAUUUCCACCAUCACUUCACUACCCAGAAAUUCAUUUUCCCUCUCUUUAAAACACCGUUCU
rnacentral:lncRNA from 1 species